UACCAGCACCCCGAGUGGUCGGGGCGAUUAUUGGGCCUAAAGCGUCCGUAGCCGGUCCUACAAGUCUUCCGUUAAAUCCACCUGCUUAACAGAUGGGCUGCGGAAGAUACUAUAGGGCUAGGAGGCGGGAGAGGCAAGCGGUACUCAGUGGGUAGGGGUAAAAUCCUCUGAUCCAUUGAAGACCACCAGUGGCGAAGGCGGCUUGCCAGAACGCGAUCGACGGUGAGGGAUGAAAGCUGGGGGAGCAAACCGG
rnacentral:rRNA from 1 species